rfam:Vitrella brassicaformis CCMP3155 genome assembly, contig: scaffold508
GUUGUGUUGAUUUUGAGCGUGCCCGUGUCCGUGCGUUGAGCGAAAGCUCAAGUGUUUUAUGCGGGGGGGAAGGUCUGAGAGGCCGCUGUUUGACAGAGAUGCAGUCGCACCAGCCUUUGAUGCGACGGCCGCCCACCAGAAAUGGCACCCCACACAUACACACACACGUGUUGUGUGUGGGGCUGAAAGGGGCUGGCUGGCCUGUCAUCUGCAGUGAGUCAAAUGCUCGAAACGCUGCGUGGCCCUCUCUGUCGGAGGGUCAGCAGCGAACUCAAUUCAGACUAGUCCUGCACAAC